rnacentral:rRNA from 1 species
UACGUAGGGUGCGAGCGUUGUCCGGAAUUAUUGGGCGGUAAAGAGCUUGUAGGCGGUUUGUCGCGUCUGCUGUGAAAAUCCGGGGCUCAACCCCGGACUUGCAGUGGGUACGGGCAGGCUAGAGUGUGGUAGGGGAGACUGGAAUUCCUGGUGUAGCGGUGAAAUGCGCAGAUAUCAGGAGGAACACCGAUGGCGAAGGCAGGUCUCUGGGCCACUACUGACGCUGAGAAGCGAAAGCAUGGGGGAGCGAACAGG